GCGCGAGUAGCACAGUUGGUAGUGCGCCACCUUGCCAAGGUGGAGGUCGCCAGUUCGAACCUGGUCUCGCGCU
rnacentral:tRNA from 1 species